UACGUAGGGGGCGAGCGUUGUCCGGAUUUAUUGGGCGUAAAGAGCGUGUAGGCGGCCAGGUAGGUCUGCUGUGAAAACUCGAGGCUCAACCUCGAGACGUCGGCGGAAACCAUCUGGCUAGAGUCCGGAAGAGGAGAGUGGAAUUCCUGGUGUAGCGGUGAAAUGCGCAGAUAUCUGGAGGAACACCGGUGGCGAAGGCGGCAUCCUGGACCGAGAUUGACGCUGACGGCGCGAAAGCCAGGGGAGCAAACGGG
rnacentral:rRNA from 1 species